rnacentral:rRNA from 1 species
AGGCCUUCGGGUUGUAAAGCACUUUCAGCUGAGGAAGGGGUGGAGUUAAUAGCUGCAUCUUGACGUUAGCGACAGAAGAAGCACCGGCUAACUCCGUGCCAGCAGCCGCGGUAAUACGGAGGGUGCGAGCGUUAAUCGGAAUUACUGGGCGUAAAGCGCAUGCAGGUGGUUUGUUAAGUCAGAUGUGAAAGCCCGGGGCUCAACCUCGGAAUUGCAUUUGAAACUGGCAAACUAGAGUACUGUAGAGGGGGGUAGAAUUUCAGGUGUAGCGGUGAAAUGCGUAGAGAUCUGAAGGAAUACCGGUGGCGAAGGCGGCCCCCUGGACAGAUACUGACACUCAGAUGCGAAAGCGUGGGGAGCAAACAGGAUUAGAUACCCUGGUAGUCCACGCCGUAAACGAUGUCUACUUGGAGGUUGUGGCCUUGAGCCGUGGCUUUCGGAGCUAACGCGUUAAGUAGACCGCCUGGGGAGUACGGUCGCAAGAUUAAAACUCAAAUGAAUUGACGGGGGCCCGCACAAGCGGUGGAGCAUGUGGUUUAAUUCGAUGCAACGCGAAGAACCUUACCUACUCUUGACAUCCAGAGAACAGAGAUGAUUGGUGCCUUCGGGAACUCUGAGACAGGUGCUGCAUGGCUGUCGUCAGCUCGUGUUGUGAAAUGUUGGGUUAAGUCCCGCAACGAGCGCAACCCUUAUCCUUGUUUGCCAGCGAGUAAUGUCGGGAACUCCAGGGAGACUGCCGGUGAUAAACCGGAGGAAGGUGGGGACGACGUCAAGUCAUCAUGGCCCUUACGAGUAGGGCUACACACGUGCUACAAUGGCGCAUACAGAGGGCAGCAAGCUAGCGAUGGUGAGCUAAUCCCAAAAAGUGCGUCGUAGUCCGGAUUGGAGUCUGCAACUCGACUCCAUGAAGUCGGAAUCGCUAGUAAUCGUGGAUCAGAAUGCUACGGUGAAUACGUUCCCGGGCCUUGUACAACCGCCCGUCACACCAUGGGAGUGGGCUG